GGAGUAGUGUAGUAGUGGUAGUGUUGACUAAGGAGGGAGAGUAGUCUGUAUAGUGGUAGGUUGACUAAGGAGGAGAGUGUGUAGUAUGGUGUGUGACUAGAGGGAGAGUAGUGUAGUAGUGGUAGUGUUGACUAAGGGAGAGUAGUGUAGUAGUGGUAGUGUUGACUAAGGAGGGAGAGUAGUGUAGUAGUGGUAGUGUUGACUAAGGACGGAGAGUAGUGUAUGUGGUAGUGUUGACUAAGGAGGGAGAGUUGUUAGUAGUGGAGUGUUGACUAAGGAGGGAGAGUAGUGUAGUAGUGGCAGUGUUGACUAAGGGAGAGUAGUGUAGUAGUGGUAGUGUUGACUAAGGAGGGAGAUUGUGUAGUAGUGGCAGUGUUGACUAAGGAGGGAGAGUAGUGUAGUAGUGGUAGUGUGACUAAGGAGGGGGAGUAGUUUAGUAGUGGUAGUGUUGACUAA
rnacentral:lncRNA from 1 species